UACGGAGGGGGCUAGCGUUGUUCGGAAUUACUGGGCGUAAAGCGCACGUAGGCGGCUUUGUAAGUUAGAGGUGAAAGCCCGGGGCUCAACUCCGGAAUUGCCUUUAAGACUGCAUCGCUUGAAUUGUGGAGAGGUGAGUGGAAUUCCGAGUGUAGAGGUGAAAUUCGUAGAUAUUCGGAAGAACGCCAGUGGCGAAGGCGACUCACUGGACACAUAUUGACGCUGAGGUACGAAAGCGUGGGGAGCAAACAGG
rnacentral:rRNA from 1 species